rnacentral:rRNA from 1 species
GGCCGCACUNGCAAAGCUCAAACCUGACCCAGCCAUGCCGCGUGCAGGAAGAAGGCGUUCUGCGUUGUAAACUGCUUUUAUACAGGAAGAAACGACCCUUGCGAGGGGCAUUGACGGUACUGUAUGAAUAAGCACCGGCUAACUCCGUGCCAGCAGCCGCGGUAAUACGGAGGGUGCAAGCGUUGUCCGGAUUUAUUGGGUUUAAAGGGUGCGCAGGUGGUUUAUUAAGUCAGUGGUGAAAGACGGUCGCUCAACGAUUGCAGUGCCAUUGAUACUGGUAGACUUGAGUAAAGUAUAGGUGGGCGGAAUUGAUAGUGUAGCGGUGAAAUGCAUAGAUAUUAUCAAGAACUCCAAUUGCGUAGGCAGCUCACUUGGCUUUUACUGACACUCAUGCNCGAAAGUGUGGGUAUCAAACAGGAUUAGAUACCCUGGUACUCCACACUGUAAACGAU